AGAGUUUGAUCAUGGCUCAGAUUGAACGCUGGCGGCAUGCUUUACACAUGCAAGUCGAACGGCAGCACGGGGGCAACCUGGUGGCGAGUGGCGAACGGGUGAGUAAUAUAUCGGAACGUACCCGGAAAUGGGGGAUAACGUAGCGAAAGUUACGCUAAUACCGCAUAUGCCCUAAGGGGGAAAGCGGGGGACUCGCAAGAACCUCGCGUUUUCGGAGCGGCCGAUAUCGGAUUAGCUAGUAGGUGAGGUAAAGGCUCACCUAGGCGACGAUCCGUAGCUGGUCUGAGAGGACGACCAGCCACACUGGAACUGAGACACGGUCCAGACUCCUACGGGAAGCAGCAGUGGGGAAUUUUGGACAAUGGGCGCAAGCCUGAUCCAGCCAUGCCGCGUGAGUGAAGAAGGCCUUCGGGUUGUAAAGCUCUUUCAGCCGGAAAGAAAACGCACGGGUUAAUAACCUGUGUGGAUGACGGUACCGGAAGAAGAAGCACCGGCUAACUACGUG
rnacentral:rRNA from 1 species